UAGGAGCCAACGAUCGAUGAGCAUGUGCUCGCUUGAGGCUGUGUCAGUGUGGUCUUUACCGCGAGUGAAGGCAUCAUCAUGGAGGAGGUGAGCGCCGAGGCCGCGGCCAUGGCGAGCGGCAUGGCGCCUGGCGCCGGAGCCGGAGGAGCAGAGGGCGCGACGAUGAAGGUGGUGGCGGCGGUGGACGCGAGCGAGGAGAGCCUGCACGCGCUGUCGUGGGCGCUCGACAACGUCGUCCGGCCCCACCCCGGCGCGUCCGUCGUCGUCGUCCACGUCCAGCAUCACGCCGACCACUUCGCCUACCCUGUCGCCGGGCACGGCCUACAGUACGUCCCGCCCACGGCGGUGGACUCCGUGAGGAAGACGCACGAGGAGAACUCCCGGCGAGUCGUGUCCGCCGCGCUCGAUGUCUGCAGGCAGAAACAGGCGAGCGCCACGGCGGCGGUGGUGGAGGGCGACGCCAAGGAGGCCAUCUGCCGCGCCGUGGAGGACAUGCACGCCGACCUCCUCGUCCUCGGCAGCCGCGGCCUGGGCAUGAUCAAGAGGCCUGGCAUGUGUUGGGUCAUCACCACCACAGGGUUUUAGGAGCACAUCAGAACCAGUUCAGUCUAGUGAAGCAAGAGGCAAUGCAGCUAGGGCGGAUGACAUGCUGCCACUGAACACAUCCACAACAGCAGCUGUUAGGAGGCAUCAGAAUUAGAUGUGCGUCAAAAGAGAUAUGCAAAUAGGGGCAGCAGGAAGUGUCGCCAGAGAAUACAGUGUACACCAUCAAGCAGGCACUCAUCAUCCUCAGGGAGCUCGGCUGAAGAUGGAGAUAAUGUUGACAACCGCAAACAAACUACGAGAUUUCGACGACAGAAUGCUUCAUCCCAUGUUGCUGCGGUUGGUUCGGCAAACCAACCACCAAGCGUGCUAAGGGGGGCAACGAUACCAGUGGGCAUGACCGUGCGUGGAAGCAGCAGUGAAUUGUCUUCCCAGGGAUUACAAUUGCAGCUAGAGGAGAGAGCUCGGCUGCAGCAAUGUGUACUUCAGCAGGAGACGAUGCAGACAUGGUUGGGAACGAAUUGGAGUGGCGGUACCAGCUCAAAUUGAUUGGAAGGCCAAUCUAUGGGGGAUCCACAAGUCUACGAACAGGAGGAGCAGUGUUGGGGGAGAUUGGUAGCUCCCAUGGGCGGAUGUCAUAAAGGAGCUCACUAGCGGCGUUAGUCCAGAAUCCACGAUGAGACGGCUCGUAUCGUCUAUCUCCAUCUGAUCUGUGCUAAGGAUAGCUGACAGGGUAAAAGAGAUAGCAUCUAGGUAGUGGGCCAUGGGCCAUAAUAAAAAAUGGAAUACAUAAGUUAUAACUGUACCUA